rnacentral:rRNA from 1 species
AUUGAACGCUGGCGGCAGGCCUAACACGCAAGUCGAGCGGAUGAAGGGAGCUUGCUCCUGGAUUCAGCGGCGGACGGGUGAGUAAUGCCUAGGAAUCUGCCUGGUAGUGGGGGAUAACGUCCGGAAACGGGCGCUAAUACCGCAUACGUCCUGAGGGAGAAAGUGGGGGAUCUUCGGACCUCACGCUAUCAGAUGAGCCUAGGUCGGAUUAGCUAGUUGGUGGGGUAAAGGCCUACCAAGGCGACGAUCCGUAACUGGUCUGAGAGGAUGAUCAGUCACACUGGAACUGAGACACGGUCCAGACUCCUACGGGAGGCAGCAGUGGGGAAUAUUGGACAAUGGGCGAAAGCCUGAUCCGGCCAUGCCGCGUGUGUGAAGAAGGUCUUCGGAUUGUAAAGCACUUUAAGUUGGGAGGAAGGGCAGUAAGUUAAUACCUUGCUGUUUUGACGUUACCAACAGAAUAAGCACCGGCUAACUUCGUG